GCAAAUUAGAGCUUGAAUAGUAAAGCAUUUCAUUUACAUUGAAAAGUUGUCGUGCAAUUCGAUUUAAUUUG
rnacentral:tRNA from 1 species